AGAACGAACGCUGGCGGCAGGCUUAACACAUGCAAGUCGAACGCCCGUAGCAAUACGGGAGUGGCAGACGGGUGAGUAACGCGUGGGAACGUACCCUUCGGUUCGGAAUAACCCGGGGAAACUCGGGCUAAUACCGGAUACGUCCGCAAGGAGAAAGAUUUAUUGCCGAAGGAUCGGCCCGCGUCCGAUUAGCUAGUUGGUGGGGUAAUGGCCCACCAAGGCGACGAUCGGUAGCUGGUCUGAGAGGAUGAUCAGCCACACUGGGACUGAGACACGGCCCAGACUCCUACGGGAGGCAGCAGUGGGGAAUAUUGGACAAUGGGCGAAAGCCUGAUCCAGCAAUGCCGCGUGAGUGAUGAAGCCUUAGGGUGUAAAGCUCUUUACCAGGGAUGAUAAUGACAGUACCUGGAGAAUAAGCUCCGGCUAACUUCGUGCCAGCAGCCGC
rnacentral:rRNA from 1 species